rnacentral:rRNA from 1 species
GACGAACGCUGGCGGCGUGCCUAAUACAUGCAAGUAGAACGCUGAAGGAGGAGCUUGCUUCUCUGGAUGAGUUGCGAACGGGUGAGUAACGCGUAGGUAACCUGCCUGGUAGCGGGGGAUAACUAUUGGAAACGAUAGCUAAUACCGCAUAAUAGUAGAUGUUGCAUGACAUUUGCUUAAAAGGUGCAAUUGCAUCACUACCAGAUGGACCUGCGUUGUAUUAGCUAGUUGGUGAGGUAACGGCUCACCAAGGCGACGAUACAUAGCCGACCUGAGAGGGUGAUCGGCCACACUGGGACUGAGACACGGCCCAGACUCCUACGGGAGGCAGCAGUAGGGAAUCUUCGGCAAUGGACGGAAGUCUGACCGAGCAACGCCGCGUGAGUGAAGAAGGUUUUCGGAUCGUAAAGCUCUGUUGUAAGAGAAGAACGAGUGUGAGAGUGGAAAGUUCACACUGUGACGGUAUCUACCAGAAA